rnacentral:rRNA from 1 species
GACGAACGCUGGCGGCGUGCUUAACACAUGCAAGUCGAACGGAGUGGCGAACGGGUGUGUAACACGUGGGUGACCUUCCCUGCACUUCGGGAUAAGCCUGGGAAACUGGGUCUAAUACCGGAUAGUGUGGGAUGGGCCCGCGGCCUAUCAGCUUGUUGGUGGGGUAAUGGCCUACCAAGGCGGCGACGGGUAGCCGGCCUGGGAGGGUGGACGGCCACAAUGGGCCUGAGAGACGGACCAGAGUGGUACGGGGGGCAGCAGGGGGGAAUAUGGCGCAAUGGGCGGGAGUGUGAUGAGGAGGCGCCGCGUGGGGGAAGACGGCUUUGGGGUGGUAAACUCCUUUAACCAUAGACGCGGUAGAUGGAGAAGAAGCACCGGCUAACUACGUGCCAGCAGCCGCGGUAAUAC